rfam:Cricetulus griseus cell line CHO-K1, whole genome shotgun sequence.
CCAAAGGCUCUUUUCAGAGCCACCCACAGUUUCAUAUGAAAUUGCU